UCUCCGUAGGUGAACCUGCGGAGGGAUCAUUACCGAGUGAGGGUUCCGGCCCGACCUCCAACCCUUUGUGAAUUCGACCCAGUUGCCUCGGGGGCGACCCGGCGCUUCGGCGCCAGGGGGUCCCCGCUGGUCCACACAACUCUGCAUCUUUGCGUCUGAGUAAACAUUAAAUGAAACAAAACUUUCAACAACGGAUCUCUUGGUUCUGGCAUCGAUGAAGAACGCAGC
rnacentral:misc_RNA from 1 species